AUCUUUAUCCUCGGAAUUGGCAAUCGGGAAGGCAUAUCCGCCUGCCGAUGCAAGGGAAUCCGGUGCAAAACCGGAGCUGUACCUGCAGCUGUAAUCCUCAAUAAAAGAUGUUUGUAUCCGCAAAAGCCACUGUCGCGGCAACGCGAUGGGAAGAUAAUACAAGCAGAGGAGAGCCAGAAUACCUACCAACUUCCGUAACUUGAGC
rnacentral:ncRNA from 15 species